rnacentral:rRNA from 1 species
GACGAACGCUGGCGGCGUGCUUAACACAUGCAAGUCGAACGGAAAGGCCCUGCUUUUGUGGGGUGCUCGAGUGGCGAACGGGUGAGUAACAAGUGAGUAACCUGCCCUUGACUUUGGGAUAACUUCAGGAAACUGGGGCUAAUACCGGAUAGGAGCUCCUGCUGCAUGGUGGGGGUUGGAAAGUUUCGGCGGUUGGGGAUGGACUCGCGGCUUAUCAGCUUGUUGGUGGGGUAGUGGCUUACCAAGGCUUUGACGGGUAGCCGGCCUGAGAGGGUGACCGGCCACUUUGGGACUGAGAUACGGCCCAGACUCCUACGGGAGGCAGCAGUGGGGAAUAUUGCACAAUGGGCGGAAGCCUGAUGCAGCAACGCCGCGUGCGGGAUGACGGCCUUCGGGUUGUAAACCGCUUUCGCCUGUGACGAAGCGUGAGUGACGGUAAUGGGUAAAGAAGCACCGGCUAACUACGUG